UACGAAGGGGGCUAGCGUUGCUCGGAAUGACUGGGCGUAAAGGGCGCGUAGGCGGUUUGGACAGUCAGGCGUGAAAUUCCUGGGCUUAACCUGGGGGCUGCGCUUGAUACAUCCAGACUUGAGUGGGGAAGAGGGUCGUGGAAUUCCCAGUGUAGAGGUGAAAUUCGUAGAUAUUGGGAAGAACACCGGUGGCGAAGGCGGCGACCUGGUCCUUUACUGACGCUGAUGCGCGAAAGCCAGGGGAGCAAACGGG
rnacentral:rRNA from 1 species